rnacentral:rRNA from 1 species
UACGAAGGGGGCUAGCGUUGCUCGGAAUCACUGGGCGUAAAGCGCACGUAGGCGGACUCUUAAGUCAGGGGUGAAAUCCUGGAGCUCAACUCCGGAACUGCCUUUGAUACUGGGAGUCUUGAGUUCGGGAGAGGUGAGUGGAACUGCGAGUGUAGAGGUGAAAUUCGUAGAUAUUCGCAAGAACACCAGUGGCGAAGGCGGCUCACUGGCCCGAUACUGACGCUGAGGUGCGAAAGCGUGGGGAGCAAACAGG